UAUAGGGGAUAAUAGGGUGCCAUUUUUCAUGCACACUUCGAUCCCAGUUUCGUUGAGACAGCCCCAACCACUUAAAUCCAUUGUGUUCACAGAUAAAGCUCUGGUUUCAUUUUGUUUAGAAAAGGAUCUUUUUAAAUCUGAUUGCCAAAUAAUAAGGUGAUUGUAUUUUGCGAUAUGCCACAUAUUACAAGACACGUAAAUACACGUGCUAGUUACUGAACAUGUACCUGCAGACAGAGAACAGUGUUGUUUUCAGACUGUCUCUUCUGUAGAUACCAAGUCCCGUGAGUCAUGUAGAACUUGUAUAAGCCUGUUUGGGGAACCCCGGGUUGGGGGCAGAACUUGUGUGUAGAGAGUGAACAUACUUUAAUUGGCAGUACAAGAUAUGUAUUUUAAGACACACAGCUUUGUCUGUUCAUGUAGGUCUGGCUCAGAGAACGACUACUGUUGUCUAAUGUCCUCCUUCAUGUUGGUCUGGCUCAGAGAGUGUUGUCUAAUGUCCUCCUUCAUGUAGGUCUGGCUCAGAGAACGACUACUGUUGUCUAAUGUCCUGUUUCAUGUAGGUCUGGCUCAGAGAGUGUUGUCUAAUGUCCUCCUUCAUGUAGGUCUGGCUCAGAGAACGACUACUGUUGUCUAAUGUCCUGUUUCAUGUAGGUCUGGCUCAGAGAACGACUACUGUUGUCUAAUGUCCUGUUUCAUGUUGGUCUGGGUCAUGUUCAUAUUGGUGCAAAACAGAAGAAAAAAAACCAGAGUGAAACAGUGGGGUACUUACCUGUCCAAUAAGAAACGCUCAUGUCAGUUUUUUCCCUUUGCGUUCCCUGAUGGAUUUGUUCUGUAGUAAUAUAUGUUGUAGUAAAGGACAAUAACACUGGUUUUGUUCUGUAGUAAUAUAUGUUGUAUUAAAGGACAAUAACACUGGUUUUGUUCUGUACUAAUAUAUGUUGUAUUAAAGGACAAUAACACUGGUUUUGUUCUGUAGUAAUAUAUGUUGUAUUAAAGGACAAUAACACUGGUUUUGUUCUGUACAAAUAUGUUGUAUUAAAGGACAAUAACACUGGUUUUGUUCUGUACUAAUAUAUGUUGUAUUAAAGGACAAUAACACUGGUUUUGUUCUGUAGUAAUAAAUGUUGUAUUAAAGGACAAUAACACUGGUUUUGUUCUGUACAAAUAUGUUGUAUUAAAGGACAAUAACACUGGUUUUGUUCUGUACUAAUAUAUGUUGUAUUAAAGGACAAUAACACUGGUUUUGUUCUGUAGUAAUAUAUGUUGUAUUAAAGGACAAUAACACUGGUUUUGUUCUGUACAAAUAUGUUGUAUUAAAGGACAAUAACACUGGUUUUGUUCUGUAGUAAUAAAUGUUGUAUUAAAGGACAAUAACACUGGUUUUGUUCUGUACUAAUAUAUGUUCUAUUAAAGGACAAUAACACUGGUUUUGUUCUGUAGUAAUAAAUGUUGUAUUCAAGGACAAUAACACUGGUUUUGUUCUGUACAAAUAUGUUGUAUUAAAGGACAAUAACACUGGUUUUGUUCUGUACUAAUAUAUGUUGUAUUAAAGGACAAUAACACUGGUUUUGUUCUGUACUAAUAUAUGUUGUAUUAAAGGACAAUAACACUGGUUUUGUUCUGUACUAAUAUAUGUUCUAUUAAAGGACAAUAACACUGGUUUUGUUCUGUACUAAUAUAUGUUGUAGUAAAGGACAAUAACACUGGUUUUGUUCUGUACUAAUAUAUGUUGUAUUAAAGGACAAUAACACUGGUUUUGUUCUGUACUAAUAUAUGUUGUAGUAAAGGACAAUAACACUGGUUUUGUUCUGUACUAAUAUAUGAUGUAUUAAAGGACAAUAACACUGGUUUUGUUUUGUAAGACUCAAACAUUCUUCCAUGUGUUUAUGUUUUUUUGCUGGACUGACUGAAGGAUAAUUCUUCAGUCUGGGAUAAUGUGACACAAGGAAAACGAAUCAAUCAGGACAAUGUUUCAGUUUAAUCCUCCCACUCAACAGGUAUUUUAUGUUCCAGCAGUGCAUCAAAAAGGUACAUUUUUAAAAAAUCGUGAUGUACUUAAGCUUUUGGGUCGUGGAAACUGGGCCGUUGCUUCUGCAUCGAGGUAGAGAGAACAUACUAGAAGCGUUCUUCAGAAAACAACAGAAGGUUUAGGACACUUUGUGUCACACGUUGGGAUCUGACGUGCUUUAAAUAAAUAAAUAAAAAAGUUGUUUUGACACUUCUACAGAGAUGUAGUUUUUUUUGGGGGGGGGGGGGGGGUGGGGGUAUAGUAUCACACCUGAUUUUAACUUUCCCUGAACACCAAGCCAUUUGAAUAUCUCUUAUAUUAGAAUAGAGGAAGUUUACUGUCUCUGCAUCCAGGCACGUCUCUUAUCUUUCAGUGUGUUUGGGACCACGGUGGAUUUGUCAUCACGAACGGCAUCAAUGCUUUAGGAAAUGUGAUGACGUGUUAUUGUUGGGGUCUAUUUUAAAUGUACAUUGUGCCAUAAAGGUAGACACAUGCUGUAUAUGUAUAGACAGAACAACAAUAAAUAAAU